rnacentral:pre_miRNA from 1 species
UUCACAAGAAAGUGUCAUUCAUGUGUACUGAAAUAUGAGUGGCAUUUUCUUGCGAAGA